rnacentral:rRNA from 1 species
UACAGAGGGGGCAAGCGUUGUUCGGAAUUACUGGGCGUAAAGGGCGCGUAGGCGGCCCGCUAAGUCGAACGUGAAAUCCCCGAGCUCAACUCGGGAACUGCGUCCGAUACUGGCGGGCUUGAAUCCGGGAGAGGGAUGCGGAAUUCCAGGUGUAGCGGUGAAAUGCGUAGAUAUCGGGAGGAACACCAAUGGCGAAGGCAGCUCGCUGGGACGGUACUGACGCUGAGACGCGAAAGCGUGGGGAGCAAACAGG